rnacentral:rRNA from 1 species
GAUGAACGCUGGCGGCGUGCCUAAUACAUGCAAGUCGAGCGAACAGACGAGGAGCUUGCUCCUCUGACGUUAGCGGCGGACGGGUGAGUAACACGUGGAUAACCUACCUAUAAGACUGGGAUAACUUCGGGAAACCGGAGCUAAUACCGGAUAAUAUAUUGAACCGCAUGGUUCAAUAGUGAAAGACGGUUUUGCUGUCACUUAUAGAUGGAUCCGCGCCGCAUUAGCUAGUUGGUAAGGUAACGGCUUACCAAGGCGACGAUGCGUAGCCGACCUGAGAGGGUGAUCGGCCACACUGGAACUGAGACACGGUCCAGACUCCUACGGGAGGCAGCAGUAGGGAAUCUUCCGCAAUAGGCGAAAGCCUGACGGAGCAACGCCGCGUGAGUGAUGAAGGUCUUCGGAUCGUAAAACUCUGUUAUUAGGGAAGAACAAAUGUGUAAGUAACUAUGCACGUCUUGACGGUACCUAAUCAGAAAGCCACGGCUAACUACGUGC